rnacentral:rRNA from 1 species
AGGACGAACGCUGGCGGCGUGCUUAACACAUGCAAGUCGAGCGGUGAUCCUCCUUCGGGAGGUGAUCAGCGGCGAACGGGUGAGUAACACGUGGGCAACCUGCCCCUCACACUGGGAUAACCUCGGGAAACCGGGGCUAAUACCGGAUACGACCUCGAGCGGCAUCUCUUGAGGUGGAAAGCUCCGACGGUGAGGGAUGGGCCCGCGGCCUAUCAGCUUGUUGGUGGGGUAAUGGCCUACCAAGGCGACGACGGGUAGCCGGCCUGAGAGGGCGACCGGCCACACUGGGACUGAGACACGGCCCAGACUCCUACGGGAGGCAGCAGUGGGGAAUAUUGCGCAAUGGGCGAAAGCCUGACGCAGCGACGCCGCGUGAGGGAUGAAGGCCUUCGGGUUGUAAACCUCUUUCAGCAGGGACGAAGCGAAAGUGACGGUACCUGCAGAAGAGCACCGGCUAACUACGCGCCAGCAGCCGCGGUAA